rnacentral:rRNA from 1 species
GACAGAGGGGGCAAGCGUUGCUCGGAAUUACUGGGCGUAAAGGGCGCGUAGGCGGGAUGGCAAGUCGGUCGUGAAAUCCUUCGGCUCAACCGAAGAACGUCGAUCGAUACUGCUGUUCUUGAGGGUUGCAGAGGAGACUGGAAUUCCCGGUGUAGCGGUGAAAUGUGUAGAGAGUCGGGGAGGAACACCGGUGGCGAAGGCGGUCUCUGGGCCGAUACUGGACGCUGAGGAGCGAAAGCGUGGGGAGCGAACAGG